rnacentral:rRNA from 1 species
CCUACGGGAGGCAGCAGUGGGGAAUUGUUCGCAAUGGGCGCAAGCCUGACGACGCAACGCCGCGUGGAGGAUGAAGGUCUUCGGAUUGUAAACUCCUGUUGAUCGGGAAGAAUGGCCUCCGGGUUAAUACUCCGGAGGAGUGACGGUACCGAUUGAGGAAGCCACGGCUAAC